CCUCGGCCGUGGAAGGCGCAGCGGCCGCUUCACGGCUCCGGCUCUGGACUGGAGCACGGAGGCAUCCUCGCAGCCGCUGCUACCGCUGCUGUACCUGGUCAGGUGGCAUUCACCAUCACCGUUUUCUUCUGUCAUGAUUUUGUCAUCAUCCCAACCAUCACCAACAACGUCAUCUUCUCCUCCAUCAGAACUCUAUAGUUCUCCAAAGGCAUCUUCUGUUCCUCUAUAGAUGCUAAACCACAAGAAGCAAACGUGAGCCUGCACCAACAGACUGGAAGGAAAUGAAACAUCCCUAUGUUUAGGGUCUGUGCUGAACUGCUGACAAAGCAGUAAUCUGUGUGCCCUAUAAAACAAAAAUUACUGGAGUAGGAGAAUGGGUAUAGCCUCCUGACCUCAUCGACAUAAAAGGCUGAAAACUCAGGAAUGGGAUGUGUCUUCCUUGGAAUUUCCAGGUCCUUUGAUGAAGAGUAAAAACAAUCUCAAGAAAAGGGAAUAAUCUAGUGAUUUUAUGUGCUCACUCAGCCCUUGAACAUGUACUACCCCAGUGUCUCUGUGGUUAUGGGAAAAAUUGUUCCUUCAUUGGGCCUCCCUACCUAUACUUUUCUAAGCUGAACAAACCUCUGAAAUUCUCUGCAGGAAGUCACUUCUGGCCGAGUUCUUUCGUUUUUCCCUUCUCCAAACCAGCACAUCUAUUACUUUCCUGCCUUAAUCAAAACUGACUUGCUUUGUGUCCUAUUUCAUUAGAUUCAUUCCUGUUCUCCUAUCUAAGGUGUCGAACAUCAUUGUUAAAUACUGAUAUACUUCAAAUUAAACACAUUUUAAGUUGGUCUUAA